GUCCAGGUCGAGGAUCAUCCCUCCUGCCACUGCUCCUCGUGGCUGACACAUCAGGUUCCCCCCCUGGGUGAAGAAGAAGAGUCUGUCCCAGGCUGUGGUCACCAAACCUGUUUUACUGCAGGACAGAGACGAGUGCAGCAUGGCUACUCUCUUGCGAUACUGCAGUGCGUUGAGGGCACAGUAAUACUGCAGUGAGGCCUGGUGCUGCUUCCUCCUGGUGUACGCCACCUCCUUCACCAAGUCUGCCUUCAGCUGUUCACACAGGAGAGGGGAAAAACAUCCAUGAGUCCUGGCAGAGAAACAAUAUUUGAUUCCAUAUCAUUAAAAGUCUCUCAGAUUGUAGAGCGGCGCUGUUUUUCAAGACUCUGGGAUUCCUGGGGAAGAAAAAGGCUUCAUCAGUGGAGCUGGGAGUCAAAGUCACCUU